UGAGCACCGAAAGGAGUGGCUUGGCUGCAAUAAACCCGCAUAUUUACCUCACUGUGAAUACUUUUUUUUUUUUUUUUUUGAAGUGGUUGUACCUGUAAAUCUAGUCAUGGAAGACAUAGUUCUUUCAGAUGAUGAUGGUAAACAAUUAUCUGUGAGGAGGAGUGACUUGGCACUUGGGGAAAACCCAGGGGUCCAGAAGCUGGGACACCCUAUGUCAUCUCUCAGCUCAGCAGGAUUACACAAUGGAGAAGCAGCCCUAUGUUUCUGGGAAGGAGACAACUUGAAGCUGCUUUUAUCUCUCACAUGGAUGCAGACAACGUUAAUUCUCCUCUCAAAAAGGAUGGUUCAAAAUCAAUGGAACAGCUGGGAGUAAAGAGCAGUAAUGACUUUGACUUCCUGAUCUUCAAGCUGAACAAAGUCAGAGCACUCCAGGACUGACCACUGUAACCAGGACUUCCCAACUACUGUCGUGCCAAGCUGAGUAUAACUGGACACCUAGAACAUGAAAAUGAAUUCACAUCUGCUUGCCACUUGACAAGAUUUAAUAGAGUUAUAUUCAAAACCAGAACUGACAUCAUACAACAGAGCAUCAUCGAAGUGUACAAGGCAGCAAGUUCCGUAAAGCUUGCAAAAUGAGGCAUCAGUCACAAAGUAUCACCAGUGAAUGUUGCUGUCAUUGCACCAUUCAGCCAUUUGAAAGAAUCACAGAAUCACAGAAUCACCUAGGUUGGAAGAGACCUCCAAGAUCACCGAGUCCAACCUCUGACCUAAACCAUUCCCUGUUUAACAGAGCAGCCAAUUUGUAGGCUCUUUCUGCUUCAGAGCAGAAGCGCUCUCUGUUCCAUCAGUGACACAGGUAGAAAGCAUACAACACAACAAUAAAUAACCAGCUGCAAUGCUCAGUUUCCAGGAACUGAAAAGUAAAUUGAUUUCCAUAUGACUCAACUGCUCAGAUCAAUAACUACCCUUCUUUCUUCCUGUACAUACACACUUUUCUUCCUCUGAAAUAACCGAUAUUAUCUUCAAAUUUAAGGAACAUCUUACUGUGCUUAUGAUUGCACAAAUAAGUUCUUCAGGGAAAAACUACCUUGAAACAUCUUCUGCCUGUUAAUUUAUCCAGUGAAAAAUUUCUUAUGAGCUUUUAUGAUUUAGUCACAGACAACUGUGGUGCAACAAGGCUAUAUUCAUGUUCUUUACCUGCUAGGAAGCUGGUUCAAAAACAAAACAAAACAAAAAACACAUACUGAUUUAUUAUUUGAAUCACAUCCAUCCAUACAUCGCAACCUCUUUGUUUUCUUCACCUCCUAGGACUGCAAGCAUUAUACAAUUUCUCCAAGAUACGUCACUGUCUAAAGUUAUAGCCACAUCACAUAUGAGGUAACUGAGGCCACUGUAAGUAAAUUCUCAAGGAACAUUAUAAGUUACAAUCCGACUGACUACUAAAUUCUUAAUAACUUCCUAAGAAAACUGAAACAGCAAGAGCACAUAUAUCCAUUGACACUGACAGUGAGUCAUCUGAGUUCAAAGGUAGUAAAAAGAUUUUUUUUUAAUUAAAGCUCAGUUCACAAUGCACAGACUUGCCUGCACAAGUCACAAUCUGCUAAAGCUCUAGAUAGCAUGUAAGCCAUAAAGAUAUUGAUAGUCAGAACACCCCUAGGACGAAAGCACGUACAUCAGCAGUGGAAUGUGCUCCCGCAUGAUUACGCAGAGAAAAGCAUUCCUUCCACCUCUAGGUGCAUGUAUAUUGCAGGUAUAUGACGGACUGUCAGGUGGGGUUUUUUGUUUCAGUUUGGUUUUUCACCUCCAAGAAAAUGCUUCUUAUUUUAAAUGACUACGAAUGGCAGCUUCUGAAAGUGCUGCUCCUACAAAUGAACUAACAACACAAGGAAAACUAAAAACAUUUAAGUUUCUGCCUUUGGGCUCCACAUAAUCUCUUUAACUGCAUAUUCAGCUCAGUUAUUUCUACUCAGCUUCUGAUGGCUGCUAAGGUGAACAGUAGUUCUUUGUCCACAUGAAUUAUCCACUUCAGACACAGGCUAUAGUGUUCCUACCAUUUACAGACUCAUUUCCCCCGCAUUCUCAACAAUUAGGUCAGAAUAUAUGCUACCUAGAAAUCUGGAGCUGUUUAAUUUUACAAAAGCACAGAAACAUCCCCACACAGGAUCAGUUUACAAAUAACACAUGGAGUGGAAUACAUCCUGAACUAUUUUUCCUUAACAGUGGAAGAACAACUGAUGGAAAUCUCAAGACUAAAAUUCCUAGAAUUCUAGUAAUUUUAAAAAAAUGUUAUAGAACACAGCAUAUAUUUUAAUCCCUUAAAUCCAUUCCUGUGCUUUGGCACAUCUUUCCAGCUCCCUGCCUCCUGGCUCCUGCAUAAUGAAGUUAAACACGUGAACAAUGUAACACCUUAUCAAGCACAGGUAUUUCAAAAAGCUUAAAGGUAAUGUUAAAUUCAAAAGCUGAUGUAGUCUACAAAGUUAAUUACUGAAGGCCAACAUGGGGAGCACAUCAAGAUUUCACGUGAACAAAUGAAGAUACUUAUCUCACUGUAAUAAUGAUCCCAAAGGGCACAGAACUGCACAGAUUGCAUGUAGGUGGGGCAAGGUGCACUGACAUUACAUCCUUUUUAUAGAGGCACUGUGCUAAUGACCAUUUAUUUAUAUUAGUAACUUUGUAUGUUAUCAUCAUAUGUGAUUAUGCUGUAUACACAGAUUGAUAGUUUAUAUAAAAUCCUAUAAAAUUUAUCUAGUGCACAUAAACUUGUAAAUUUUGUGUAUAAUUUACAUAUAAAAAUGUUACAUUUAGUGUAAUGAUAGCACAAGAGGUAACUAAAAGGGCAGAUUUAGAUUAGAUAUUAGGAGAAAAUUCUUUACUGUUAGGGUGGUGAGGCUCUGCAGCAGGCUGCCCAGAGAAACUGGCUGCCCCAUCCCUGAAGUGCCCAAGGCCAUUGGGACACCUGGUGUGUUGGGAGGCGUCAUGCCCAUGGUUCUGGUUGGAACUAGAUCCUAUUAUGGCCCCAAGCCACUCAGUGAUUCUGUGAUUUGUAACAGUACUGUAUCAAGUCCAAAGGUGUUCUGAUAUUAUUACUUUUAACAACACUGUCAUAAAUAACAGUAACACAGAACCAAAAGUAUUUAUUCUCUUUACAUUUUACAGUGUUCUUAUUUGUACAAAGCCUGAUAAGAAUAAUAAAUAUCACAGGGAUAAUAAUUCCAUGCUGGUCUUUCAACAAAUCAGUGGAUUUGCAGGGAAGAAUGAGAAGAACCACACAGAGAAAGGUGGGCUGAGAAGUAUUUUUAGCUGGGUUACAGCCACCAGAAGAAAAAAAAAAGCCUUUAAUUCCCCUGAAAGGCAAAUCAGUACUGACUACAGCAGUGUUGAUUGCCUCCUACAGUGACUCUUAUGAAGCACAGGCAAACUCUGAUGUACUGUAGCAGCGUAAGUAAUACUGAGUCUACUUUUCUAGUCUUGAUACUAAAAUACUUCAUGUCUCAAUGGACAUCAACGCCAAUCCUGUUUGCUCAUAAAGCAUAAAGGAGCAAUCCUACAGGCUCUGAAGUCUCCUCCUGAAAAUUCUGUAUUUAUUAUCAAAUCACACAACUACCCACCAGCAAGAUAGUUUUAAAUUUUGUACCUUCAUUUAUAUUACUACUGUCUUAAAUGCUGCAUUUCAGGAAAAAAACACAGUUUUGAUUCAAUUACACAUCUUUCAAAUGUAAAGAGCAUGUAAAAGCAUUUUGUGCUAGCCACUUAAUAUCACAAGAGGAACUAUUUUUAUUAUAUACUGUAAUUUAUACAUGAUAAUAUUUGGAGGAUUUUAACUAUCAAGACUAGAUCUCAGAAUACAGCACAGAAUGAAUACUGUGAGAACAGAGAUCUCCAGUAGAUGGAAGCAUUGGCCAGCAAAAACUAAGCUCACAUUGCUCAUGGGAUUGUCAUUCCUGCAGCACGGCAUGGUGCCUCCCCCUGCUACACACAGGAUUUUAACAUACAGAUAUCCCAGCUGGCUGACAGUGGUAGAAAAUAAGUCUAUAUUUAUUUAUCAGUAUGUGGUCUCUAGUAUUGCUGUAUCACAGCAUACAAUUACUAUUUAAAUAUUUACAAAAAUCUCACGUUGAAAGAUGAGAGGACAGACAGAUGGAUAAUGAAUCAUGAAUCUGACUGCCGAUUCCAGGCAAAAUUUGGAGAGAUAUAAGCUUCACAAACCUUUUCAUGACCUCUCUGACAGUUAAAAAGAUUCCAACUUCUUGAUUUUUCUCAUACUUUAACAAAAAAUAUGACCCAAAUAUAAAUGUUUAAAAUGUAUUUAAAUAUAAUAAUCUCACAUUGUCUGGUAUAGUGCUGAAAUGAAACAAACUCAAGUUCAGGGUUCGUUCUGAAGCUCAUUUAACAGGACAAGUAACACUGGUGGCCAUUAAUGGCAGAAAUUAAAUAUCCCUUCAAUAUCAGAUUCAACAGUACCCUAAUUCUAGCAACCAUAAAAUCGUUCUAGUCCAUUAGAGUCCAGGAAAGUUGCAUGAUUACUGACCCACAUUUCACAGUGAUGCAAGUCCCUUAGCUCAAAAUGGACAAAGAGACCUGAUAUCCCAAUACCACCAUUGCAUGUUGAUUAACUAAACACUUAUCAAGUUAUAAUUUAAGAACUUACACACAGGUCAAACACUGGCUAGUGAUUAUGUCUCUCACCUGACUGUUAUGAACCUCUCCACACUGACUGACUGCUGCUUUCCACCUCCGUUAUCUGUUUUAUCUCAUUGCCGUCUGAUCUCUUAUAACUUGUUUCCUGCAGCCCUACCUAGAUAGAGAUGUGAAACAUGAUUUCCUUUUAGUUACUUUGGCAAAGAGGUUGAGAUUACUUUUUGCAGUAUACUGAGCAAAUAUACAUUUAUACAAAUAGUACUUUCAAAGUAUGAGGAAAGGAAUACAAAAUUAAAUUCUAAUGAAAUAUCUUUACUGCUUCACCACAAACAGCAAAAAAUCCCAAUUGGCAUUCCCUUGUUUUCCCCCAUAACUAAGUCUGGAAAUUCUGCUCUCUAUAUCUUCCCCCCCCCCCCCCCCCCCCCCCUCCCACCCCUCCACCCAAAUGAAGUUAUAUUCUCUCUCCACCAUUCCUCAUCCAGUGUUGCCAAAAUUUAGCUGCUACCUCAAUUCCAGUCUCCUCCCACCAUUUCAGGAGACCUGGCUUUCAGUCAAGAUUUCAGAACUCCAAAAUUUCUCAGUCCCAAUAUCCCAAUACCUGGCCUGCUACUAGCACUCUGUAUCUUUGAUAGAAUUCUUGUUUUCAGCUCUGCAGUAAUUGGAAGUUAACCCAAGUUAGAAUUUUCAACUUGAGGAUCUCAAAACACAGCAGCAACAGAGAAUGGCCCGUUUCCUGGUUAACUAAUGGCAAGCCUGUAAGCACAGCUUCUAGUGAACUCUAGAGCAUCUGCACAUAGAGCAAUUAUAUGUAUGUUUAUACACAUACACAACACUCUGUCAGAGCUACUGAUCUACACAUCACAUGCACAGACUUAAGACACAUGGUUACCGCUACUUACAUUCCCACAUCCUUACACGAAACAUUAGCUGCACACACAUGCUUACACAUUGUUCUGUGCACACAAUGAGGGUUAACAAACUUAUUAUUGCAUACCUGCAUAUCUCUAAUAGCUGCUCCUACUUUUUAUUUAACUCCUGCUUCACCUUUCGCAUUGGGCAUUUCCUGGAACUCUUGCAAUUACUAAAAACAAAAACAAAAAGCAGGCAUAUUUUAACAGUGAUGAAACAAAAGUUGGUAAAGGCAUGAAAGAAGUGGAAAACAAAUUAUAGCUUGCCCUUCAGAGAAACAGAGCCUGGGGCAGAUGAAGCAAGCUCAGAGAUGUAACGUUCACUGCUAGUGCACCUCUGACAUCUGCCGGGAUAACAGCUGGGCUGGGCUGCUCAUCACAGAAACAAAAGAAAACGAAUAGGAAAAAGCAAAGAGCAACGACAGGUGGGAAUCCGUACUACACAGAAGCACUGGACAAGGUAGGUUUUUCCCCUUUUUUAUUGUGUCUUGAUGUUCACAGUAACAUUUAACGAUAGAAAUAGGUGAGCAGAAUCACACAGACCAAAUGAAAACCCAAACUGAGCACACUGUAUCAGGAAAGGAACGGGGACUUUGAAUCACAGGCAGCCCUCCCUGGAACAGAAAUACAUAAAUAAAAGCAUCUUCUUUGUUGCCAUUAAUGGGAGCAUUUCCUGCCAUCUGUGAGAUAACAACCCCUUUUCUCCCCGGUACCUCAGUAACCAUGGCAACUGUCUCCGCAAUGACAUCACGCAGUUUCCUGGGCAACAGUUCCCAGUGCAGUGACAUCAUGCAGUCACCAUGGCGAUGCUCCAUGAGGCCAGGAAGAAAGUAUUUAAAGUGGGAAGAGAGGUCAGGGAGGACACCAGGACUCAGGAAAGAGCAGGGAAUAAAAGAUAAAGGCAGUAAAAAAUUAGUUUGUGAGAAGAGGAAAGGCAAGGGACAGGAACAGAGAAUGAAGACAGGAGACCGAAAGAAGUACAGAGGGAAUAAGAAAAAUGUUAGGAAUCUGAACUACUAUUUAAUUGGAAAAAAAUUAAAUGCAUUAUCUAAUUUGAUAUUACAUUAUUUAGGUUAGGCUUGCUGAACGAGAGCGUGCAUGGUCACGUGAAGUUUAGGUGCAGCAGGCAUGGCUUAAAUGCUGAUUUAGAUGGUGAGACUUUUAACAGUCUAUAAGAAACUACCAGAAGCCUCCAGAGAGACACUAGCUCAAAUCAUAUAGAAUAUUCUAGCUACGUUUUCUGAUACAAGGUACUUUUUAUGAUACAUUUCCAUUCUCUCAGUGACUCAGGUGCUCAUUCACAGCAAUGCUAAUACCUUGAUGAUACAGUCCUGCCUGUACAGGGCUUCAAAAGAAAAUUAAUUUGCCCUCUUCUUUCUUUUUGCUGUUAUUUUGUUGGUUUCUUUUGCACUUAAAUAUAAGACAACAUAACUUGAAUAACUUACAAAUGAAAAUGCUUAACAUUGAUUGAAAGCUCCUUCACCAAGAAGGAAUUAAAGAGCAUUGGUUCCAUCUCUUUAAUUUCUAGAUCUUCCAGUAUUUUCAAAUGUUUCAAUUUACUGAGUAUGAAUGUCCUUUCUGAUUCAAUUGUCUUUGCGUUCUAGACAGCCUCAGCUGGUGGGCAAUGCUAAUGGCAGCUUUAUGUUAAAUGGCUCAAAAGCUCUGGGAAAAAGGCUUUUUGGCAAGGAAACUGACAUUAUUGAUACAUAAUGUUUUAUCAGUGUACACAGCCUUGAGUGAAAGAUAAAUUAACAAAACAGAGAGCCUUUUGAGGACAGUUUGCAGUCUAAAAACUUAGGACAAUGGUAUUGAAGAAACUUCAAAGUCAAUCAUAGAGUAUUUUUCUAUCUAGCAAGACAUAUUCACUUAUUUUCUCUUAUGCAAAAUCUUUAGUUUAAUUUCCACAGAUAAUUGUCCUCCACCAUUCAUUUCAGGAGUUAAUGUUGAAUCAGAUGUAGCAACUGUCAUUGUAACAUAGCAAUUAAGCAAUGUAAUGUUGUAGCUAUGACAUUUUCCACCAAAAGUGAUUUUUUUUUUUUUUUAAUACAGCUGAAGCUAAGACAAACCUCAGUAAUACUAUUCAGAACCAAAUUUCACAUACUGGGGUUUAGAAACCUACCUAACUUGUGCAUAGCAGCAGAUGCAACUCUUGCUUCAGGCUAACCCUCCAAAAGCAGAAUCUCAAAAGUCAAUGGUAUCAGAAUGUUGAUCAGUUCAGUUGUCCACAUAUUUCAGCCAAAAGGAAGAUAGUUUUCUGGGGGAAGGAUUUUAUAUAGUUUGUAAUAAUGAAACAGUUUCCUACUAUGAGGCCUCUGCUAUUCAGGUAGCAAUGAUGCAUUUAAUAUGCCCAGUACUUUCAAAAUCUAUACAAAGAUGAGCAUUAGAAUACAGAAAGUCUGACUCCUUCAGAGCAAUGCAUUUCAAGAAGCAGAGCCUUACUGCAGCAAAUCCCAAAGGAAUUUCAUUGCAAAACUCUGCAGUCAUCAGGCUGGAAACGUUCCAGGUGUUUAAUCACAGGCAGGAGGGUGAGAACUGAGAGAGAGAUGAAAAAUCUCAGUGAUAAGCAGAACUAGGAAGGAUGUGGUGACUGAGGGAGAGAAACAGGAAAAGGGGAGGAGGAGAGGAAAGGGAGAAAAACAUCUCACGCCACCGAUGAACAGAAGCACAAACAUCAAGAAAAACACAUAAAACAAGGCCAGCAUCAAUUCCACAAAGUUAUUCUUCGGUCCUCUUAUUCCUUCUCCUUAAACUAAAAGAUACUCAGAGAACAGCUAGCUGUGUGCAUGUAAAGCAAAAUUCAGGCUACGUUGGGCAUUAGAAUACAGUUGAGUGGUACUACCCACCAGUUACAUCUUCAUGUAGUUACCAAACUGUGUUUCUUCAAGGAGAGUGGGGAAGGAAGGAAAUCUUGUCACGGACAGCACAAAAUGAAGAAAAAAAGACUGCUAGAGAAGAAAACAAAUAGGACCG